rnacentral:rRNA from 1 species
AGAGUUUGAUCAUGGCUCAGAUUGAACGCUGGCGGCAUGCCUUACACAUGCAAGUCGAACGGCAGCACGGGAGCAAUCCUGGUGGCGAGUGGCGAACGGGUGAGUAAUACAUCGGAACGUGCCCAAUCGUGGGGGAUAACGCAGCGAAAGCUGUGCUAAUACCGCAUACGAUCUACGGAUGAAAGCAGGGGACCGCAAGGCCUUGCGCGAAUGGAGCGGCCGAUGGCAGAUUAGGUAGUUGGUGGGGUAAAGGCUCACCAAGCCAACGAUCUGUAGCUGGUCUGAGAGGACGACCAGCCACACUGGGACUGAGACACGGCCCAGACUCCUACGGGAGGCAGCAGUGGGGAAUUUUGGACAAUGGGCGCAAGCCUGAUCCAGCCAUGCCGCGUGCAGGAUGAAGGCCUUCGGGUUGUAAACUGCUUUUGUACGGAACGAAAAGUCUCUUUCUAAUAAAGAGGGAUCAUGACGGUACCGUAAGAAUAAGCACCGGCUAACUACGUGCCAGCAGCCGCGGUAAUACGUAGGGUGCAAGCGUUAAUCGGAAUUACUGGGCGUAAAGCGUGCGCAGGCGGUGAUGUAAGACAGUUGUGAAAUCCCCGGGCUCAACCUGGGAACUGCAUCCGUGACUGCAUCGCUGGAGUGCGGCAGAGGGGGAUGGAAUUCCGCGUGUAGCAGUGAAAUGCGUAGAUAUGCGGAGGAACACCGAUGGCGAACGCAAUCCCCUGGGCCUGCACUGACGCUCAUGCACGAAAGCGUGGGGAGCAAACAGGAUUAGAUACCCUGGUAGUCCACGCCCUAAACGAUGUCAACUGGUUGUUGGGGAUUCACUUCCUCAGUAACGAAGCUAACGCGUGAGUGACGCCUGGGAGUACGCCGCAGUGAACUCAAGGAUGACGGGACCCGCACAGCGUGGAUGAUGUGUUUAUCGAUGCACGC